CCAAUCGUUAAACCACCCAUCUCUCACAAAACCCUCAUCCCACUGCCCUAACCAGUCCAGAAAUCAAACCCUAACCCCCUUCCAAAAUCUGUCCGAAACCAGCACCCCCAUGGCUCGUUUUGCAUCUUUCCUCAGCGAAACCACCGAAAACCCUGCUACCUAGGGCUUAUCGAUCUACUCCCUCUCCAGAGACCUGGAACAUAGUUUGACAACAUAGAAAAGACAAAAAGGAAGAGCAAAAGCACUUGAUUGGGACUCUCUCUCUCUCUCUCUCUCUCUCUCUCUCUCUCCCCCCCGUCAUUUAGUUCAUAGCAAGCCCUAAUUAGAGUCCUCAUUGUAGUCUAGCUUUAGGAAUUCAAUUUAAUUUAGGGCUUUUGACUCCUGUUACCCAAUAAUUUAUAGCUCUAAUUGGCAAUUGGUUCUGUAAAAUAAAAAGAAACAUGCUAAUAGGAAAAAAAUCCUAGUGGAAGUCAAGUUUUUAGUUUAAAAUUAAUCACACUUUGUAUAUAGAAUUACCUACUUAUUUAUUACUUAGUUUAUUUGGUGAUUUCUUUUGAAACCCAAAACAAUUCCGUUGGAUCCCAAUUAUUUGGUGCUUUCACAUGCUCAACAUGAUACUUCACGUGUUUUUUCUUGAUUAGUAGUCUUAUCCUUGGAUUGUCAUUCCCAAUAUAGAAUAAUGGUGGUUCUUUCUUAAUUACCAAGUCCACAUUAUGUAUUGCACAUAUUUAAUGACCAUCCCUUUACACAAAGUCUAAAAUAUGGACUACUUUCUAUACUUCUUAAUAAAGAGGUUAAUAAAGUAGCUUUUACUUUCCACAUAUGUUUUGUGUGGGGGGCUAGACGGGUUUAUGAGGCUCUAAGUUUCUGAAGCAGUUUGGUUAGGUUUUCGUGAGCUUUUCGUUAUGAAUUAGGUUCUUUUUUUGGCUAGUAGGUUGCUGUUAGUUUGAUUGGAGUUUUCUGGAUUUUGUCAAAACCAUUUGAGUUUGUAUUGUUCAUUUUUCAUUUGGGUACGGGAGAGAGUUUUUAUUUUAUCUUGUCUAGGCACUCCGCCCGGUGAAUGAAGAAAUGUUGAGAAGCUCAUGCCUUGAAUGAUGCUCGAAUUUUGUAUGAAGAAGGUAUAUGCAUUCAUGUGCAUUUAGUGUAAUGAUUUUCCAUGCAUCACUUCUAAUUUCGUGUCUAAUCUUUAACAGAAUAAUCACGUUUUUAACUCUUAAGUUAUUAGCGCUCUUUGUUUGCUUUUGUGGGUGAUGGAAAUUUUUUUAUAAGGCUUAGAGUGGUGGCUGGCCUUGGUUUGAAAGAGCAAAAAUUUUUCUAAGGCAAAAAAUGAACAGAAGGCUAUGCUAGCGGAGCACCUUAGUAGCGCGCUACCACUUGUAUGCGCCCUAAGGGUGCUAGGGCUCUUCGGUGGCGCUAUUCAAGGUGUUCUUGAUUUUUGAUUUAAUUUUAAUGCCUAAGUUUGAAUGGCGCUCGCAGAGCGCCUUAGCAGCGCGCUAGCACUAGCUCGCGUGCUAAGAGCGCCCCAGCAGCGCGCUAGCACCCCAGCGUGUUGCUUUCUCUUUGGCUAGCUCUAGAUUUGUACCAGCACAUAUAUAAGCAUAUUUUUCAAUCUUUUAGGGCACCCACUCUUGUAUUAGCCCACUUUAGAGAGAGAAAAUCAAUUUCACUCAGAUCCCUUGUGUGGUUAUGCAUUUGAGAUUAUCUAAAUUGAGUAUUUGAUCAUCCUUUGUCAUCCUAGAGAAAUACUCUAAUAUUCAAUGUAUUCUCUCUAGGUUGAUUUGUUUUUCACAAAAACUUCAUCUCUUUUUUAAAUCCAUACAUUGUUGCCUAGGACUCUACAUGGCCGGAUGAUUCCAGAGUCGGCUUGACCCGGAGAUCGAGGUGGUGAACUUGUGGUGGCUAUGGAAUCAAGAAGGGGCUCGGAGAGCUAUAUCAAAGAGUGGAGUUAGGUGUCACAAGAGGCUUGUGGAUUGCUCAACAAUCGAUGGUGAUCAUUUGGUGCAUGGAGAUACAAUAUUGGAGUAGGAGAUCGGAGUUGAAAAAUGUUUUGGAGGACAAAACUGCUAUUUGCCUUGGUGUUUGAAUUUGCACUAUAGUAAGACAGUGCAUGUUUUGUCCAGUUAGUAGGUGCUGGUUUUGAGGUACAUUGAACUGGAUUUGUCAUACCAAGUGGAAUGGGAUAAGUAGCUAUUGGUUAAUGUCAUGUACUGACCUCCUUUUUGUUAUAUGAAGUGGAAUGGCAUUAGUACUUGGUUUUGUGUAUCAAUUGGAAUUAGAGUAUUGAUCA